rnacentral:lncRNA from 1 species
AAUAGAAACCAUGCUCAAAAAGGAGUCAUGAGAAAACUAGAGGAGACCAAUUGCCCAUAGUGAUCAGCGGGCACUGAAGGAGGCUUCUUUUUUUUUCAUGGUUCAAUGAUAGCUGCGAUAUGAGCCAAACCAUUUUUGAUUUCAGGGUUAGCAAGGUAAGGCAGCGUCCAACACCAACAUUCUAAACUUAGGAGAUGACUGACCCCGUACAAUCAAAAGUAUAAAUAGCUGGUGCAAAGGAGAUCAGCAAUGAUGUGUGAAGCCCAUGCAGAUGAGGGAGGCAAUUCUUCAAUAGAAAGGGGAUUGCAGACUAACUUGGUAAAGCACUUCAUCUGCGAUCCAAUUCCCAAUGCCUGCAAUGUAGCUCUGCAUAAUGAAGCCUCAAUCAGGAAAGGAAAUAAAAAUUAUCUGCAUUAUGCAUUAAAACCAGACAUUAACUAGCCACCAUUUUUUGCCAAUUCAAGAUACGCUAGAAGGUCUGUCAAUAGUUUGAAAAUAAAGGGGCAUUUAAGAGCUCUCUACGAAGGAGGUAAUCAAUCCAAUGCAACAGUCACCAUGUUUCUCGCCAAACCAUGUGGCCUGUUGACAAGAAUGAGGAACCCUCAUAGUAAGCCAUCUCAUUAAAGAACUUCCAACGGGCUUAUGCUGUGAGAAGAUAUAAUUUUUUUCCGUAUUAUUUUAGGAAAGAAUCAUAGGAUGGAAAAUUUUAGCAGGCCAGGAGCAACGAAGAAAUUUUGAAAUCCAGUUAGAUCGUAAAGUCAGAUCAUUCUAACUGUGAUGGACUCUUCAUCCUCUAACCAGCAGCUGAAUGGAGAAGUGCCCAAGGCUAUGCUGCAGGCUUUAGGGGGGAGAAACCACUGGGAGAGAGAACAGACCCAAAAAAUGAUCAACUGGUGAGUUUGAAAAUCAAACGACAAGAAGAAAUCCUUCUACCAAAUGAACAGCUCCAAAUGCCAGCCAAUUACUUUCCUCAUUAUUAUACUGUUCCAGUCAAUUUCCUCACUUGGUCAUAAUUAGCAUAGUCCACUGAAAUUGCAUUAUCUUUUUUUUUUCCUUUUUCAG